GUUGUGCGUUAAGAGAUGCCCUUCUGCACACCACUGUUUUAAACAGCUGUUAUUUGAGUAUGUGUGGCCUUUCUGUUAGCUUGAAUGAGUCUGGGCAUUCUCCUCUGAUCUCUCUCAUUAACAAGGUGUUUUUGCCCACAGAACUGCCGCUCACUGAAUGUGUUUUGUUUAUCGCACCAUUCUCUGUAAACUCUAGAGACUGUAGUGUGUUAAAAUCCCAGGAGGGCAGCUGUUUCUGAGAUGCUGGAACCACCAUGUGUGGCACCAACAAUCAUACCACAGUCAAAGUUACUUAGAUUACGCAUCUCGCCCGUUCUAAUGUUGGGUCGAACAACAACUAAAACUCUCUACUCUAUAUACUCUAUAUAUUGAGUUGCAGGCAGCCACUUGAACCGCUGUUCGAAGAAGCAGAAUAUUUGCGUUAACAAAGUGGCCACAGGUGUAUGUAUGCAGGCCCUUGUAAUUGCUUUUCCAAUACUGCCAACUCGUUACUGAUGAUUGAUUUCACAUUGUGGUACGAGUAUAUAGUGAAAUGAGUGGUAUCCACCUACAACAACAUAGCGAUAACAUGGAGCCGGCAGGUGAUCCAGGUCACAAUAGAGGUCAAGCAGUGGGAGGAGGAAGACGAGGAAGACGUGGUGGUCAAAGGAAUGGCAGGGGGCAAGCACCCCAUCUGAGAGGUGGUCGGGGGCCUCGUUUGAGAGGUGUGGGGGAACGUGGUAGAGGACAAGGCCACGGACCAAGACAGCGGCAGCACCAGCAAAGAGUGUCCAAUGAAAUCUGAGCAAUGGUUGUACACCACGUCAUAAAUCAUGGCAUGACAAUGACUGAGGCAGCUACAAUGAUUCAACCAAAUCUCAGAAGAUCAACCGUGGCCUCAAUCAUCAGAACUUUCCGCAGUGAGAACCGAAUUGAGACUUGGCCAAAUAGGGGAGGCAGAGGCAAAAUUCUGACUGACCAACAAGAGCAGGCUGUGGUCAAUUUGGUUUGGGCCAGAAAUGAUAUUCCCCUUACAGAAAUUCGGCAGCACAUCUUGGACAAUGACGACAUGUUCAACAAUGUGGAAGCC
rnacentral:lncRNA from 1 species